AGAAAUGGAGCCACUACCUACAAGCCUCAUCCAAGAAAUGCAACUCAGAAGGGUACCAUGGUCAAUGAUAUUGAAAGCCACAGAAAGGUCCAGGAAAACCAACAGGGACACACUUCCUCUGGCCAGUUCUCUGCAUAAGUCAUCCACCAAGGAUCAUCAUCGAUAUGCUCCAAAACCAUAUGUGUGCCCCUAUAUGCACAUGAAACAUCAGCACAUGGAUCUGUCUCAGUAGGUUACAAUUGAGAUGGUUGUGUUUUGUGCACAAAGGGAUGACUGGGUUAACU
rnacentral:lncRNA from 11 species